GGUCAAUGAUGAAUUCUGCAUUUUUUAUCUGAAACUAUAAUUGAUGUAGUUUUAAUCCUUAGCUCUAGAAUUACUCUGAGACCUG
ensembl:snoRNA